GUCCACGCCGUAAACGAUGAAUACUAGGUGUCGGGGCCCACAGGGCUUCGGUGCCGCAGCAAACGCAUUAAGUAUUCCACCUGGGGAGUACGUUCGCAAGAAUGAAACUCAAAGGAAUUGACGGGGACCCGCACAAGCGGUGGAGCAUGUGGUUUAAUUUGAAGCAACGCGGAGAACCUUACCAAGCCUUGACAUCCUGCUGACCGUCCCUUAGCCGGGGCUUCCCUUCGGGGCAGCAGAGACAGGUGGUGCAUGGUUGUCGU
rnacentral:rRNA from 1 species